rnacentral:rRNA from 1 species
UACGAAGGGGGCUAGCGUUGCUCGGAAUCACUGGGCGUAAAGCGCACGUAGGCGGCUUUCUAAGUCAGGGGUGAAAUCCUGGAGCUCAACUCCAGAACUGCCUUUGAUACUGGAGAGCUUGAGUUCGGGAGAGGUGAGUGGAACUGCGAGUGUAGAGGUGAAAUUCGUAGAUAUUCGCAAGAACACCAGUGGCGAAGGCGGCUCACUGGCCCGAUACUGACGCUGAGGUGCGAAAGCGUGGGGAGCAAACAGGG